UAAGCUAUCGCUUUUGGAUGGACCCGCGGCGUAUUAGCUAGUUGGUGAGGUAAUGGCUCACCAAGGCGAUGAUACGUAGCCGAACUGAGAGGUUGAUCGGCCACAUUGGGACUGAGACACGGCCCAAACUCCUACGGGAGGCAGCAGUAGGGAAUCUUCCACAAUGGACGCAAGUCUGAUGGAGCAACGCCGCGUGAGUGAAGAAGGCUUUCGGGUCGUAAAACUCUGUUGUUGGAGAAGAAUGGUCGGCAGAGUAACUGUUGUCGGCGUGACGGUAUCCAACCAGAAAGCCACGGCUAACUACGUGCCAGCAGCCGCGGUAAUACGUAGGUGGCAAGCGUUAUCCGGAUUUAUUGGGCGUAAAGCGAGCGCAGGCGGUUUUUUAAGUCUGAUGUGAAAGCCCUCGGCUUAACCGAGGAAGCGCAUCGGAAACUGGGAAACUUGAGUGCAGAAGAGGACAGUGGAACUCCAUGUGUAGCGGUGAAAUGCGUAGAUAUAUGGAAGAACACCAGUGGCGAAGGCGGCUGUCUGGUCUGUAACUGACGCUGAGGCUCGAAAGCAUGGGUAGCGAACAGGAUUAGAUACCCUGGUAGUCCAUGCCGUAAACGAUGAAUGCUAGGUGUUGGAGGGUUUCCGCCCUUCAGUGCCGCAGCUAACGCAUUAAGCAUUCCGCCUGGGGAGUACGACCGCAAGGUUGAAACUCAAAGGAAUUGACGGGGGCCCGCACAAGCGGUGGAGCAUGUGGUUUAAUUCGAAGCAACGCGAAGAACCUUACCAGGUCUUGACAUCUUUUGAUCACCUGAGAGAUCAGGUUUCCCCUUCGGGGGCAAAAUGACAGGUGGUGCAUGGUUGUCGUCAGCUCGUGUCGUGAGAUGUUGGGUUAAGUCCCGCAACGAGCGCAACCCUUAUGACUAGUUGCCAGCAUUUAGUUGGGCACUCUAGUAAGACUGCCGGUGACAAACCGGAGGAAGGUGGGGAUGACGUCAAAUCAUCAUGCCCCUUAUGACCUGGGCUACACACGUGCUACAAUGGAUGGUACAACGAGUUGCGAGACCGCGAGGUCAAGCUAAUCUCUUAAAGCCAUU
rnacentral:rRNA from 2 species